CCUACGGGAGGCAGCAGUGGGGAAUUUUGGACAAUGGGCGAAAGCCUGAUCCAGCAAUGCCGCGUGUGGGAAGAAGGCCUUCGGGUUGUAAACCACUUUUGUACGGAACGAAACGGUUCGCUUUAAUACAGUGGGCUAAUGACGGUACCGUAAGAAUAAGCACCGGCUAACUACGUGCCAGCAGCCGCGGUAAUACGUAGGGUGCGAGCGUUAAUCGGAAUUACUGGGCGUAAAGCGUGCGCAGGCGGUUAUAUAAGACAGUUGUGAAAUCCCCGGGCUCAACCUGGGAAUUGCAUCUGUGACUGUAUAGCUAGAGUACGGUAGAGGGGGAUGGAAUUCCGCGUGUAGCAGUGAAAUGCGUAGAUAUGCGGAGGAACACCGAUGGCGAAGGCAAUCCCCUGGACCUGUACUGACGCUCAUGCACGAAAGCGUGGGGAGCAAACAGGAUUAGAUACCCUGGUAGUCCACGCCCUAAACGAUGUCAACUGGUUGUUGGGUGCAUUAGUACUCAGUAACGAAGCUAACGCGUGAAGUUGACCGCCUGGGGAGUACGGCCGCAAGGUUGAAACUUAAAGGAAUUGACGGCUGAGACGNGCGACGACGACGACGAGGGAGGAGG
rnacentral:rRNA from 1 species